GAGUUUGAUCGUGGCUCAGGAUGAACGCUGGCGGCGUGCCUAAUACAUGCAAGUCGAGCGAACGGACGAGAAGCUUGCUUCUCUGAUGUUAGCGGCGGACGGGUGAGUAACACGUGGAUAACCUACCUAUAAGACUGGGAUAACUUCGGGAAACCGGAGCUAAUACCGGAUGAUAUUUUGAACCGCAUGGUUCAAAAGUGAAAGACGGUCUUGCUGUCACUUAUAGAUGGAUCCGCGCUGCAUUAGCUAGUUGGUAAGGUAACGGCUUACCAAGGCAACGAUGCAUAGCCGACCUGAGAGGGUGAUCGGCCACACUGGAACUGAGACACGGUCCAGACUCCUACGGGAGGCAGCAGUAGGGAAUCUUCCGCAAUGGGCGAAAGCCUGACGGAGCAACGCCGCGUGAGUGAUGAAGGUCUUCGGAUCGUAAAACUCUGUUAUUAGGGAAGAACAUAUGUGUAAGUAACUGUGCACAUCUUGACGGUACCUAAUCAGAAAGCCACGGCUAACUA
rnacentral:rRNA from 1 species